rnacentral:rRNA from 1 species
UGGGGAAUCUUGCGCAAUGGGCGAAAGCCUGACGCAGCGACGCCGCGUGGGUGAUGAAGGCCUUCGGGUCGUAAAGCCCUGUCAAGAGGGACGAAACCUCGUCGACCUAAUACGUCGGCGACCUGACGGUACCUCUGAAGGAAGCACCGGCUAACUCCGUGCCAGCAGCCGCGGUAAUACGGAGGGUGCGAGCGUUGUUCGGAAUUACUGGGCGUAAAGCGCGUGUAGGCGGCCUCCUCAGUCUGGUGUGAAAGCCCGGGGCUCACCCCCGGAAGUGCAUUGGAUACUGGGAGGCUGGAGUACCGGAGAGGAGGGUGGAAUUCCUGGUGUAGCGGUGAAAUGCGUAGAUAUCAGGAGGAACACCGGUGGCGAAGGCGGCCCUCUGGACGGAUACUGACGCUGAGACGCGAAAGCGUGGGGAGCAAACA